UGUGGUGAAGAAAAGACAACAUGCCUU
rnacentral:piRNA from 1 species